AUUGAACGCUGGCGGCAGGCCUAACACAUGCAAGUCGAACGAGUGGCGGACGGGUGAGUAAUGUCUGGGAAACUGCCUGAUGGAGGGGGAUAACUACUGGAAACGGUAGCUAAUACCGCAUACCAUCAGAUGUGCCCAGAUGGGAUUAGCUUGUGGGUGGGGUAACGGCUCACCAAGGCAACGAACCGUAGCUGGUCUGAGAGGAUGACCAGCCAGACUGGAACUGGAACACGGUCCAGGAACCGACGGGAGGCAGCGGUGGGGAAAAUUGCACAAUGGGCGCAGGCCUGAUGCAGCAGUGCCGCGUGUAUGAAGAAGGCCUUCGGGUUGUAAAGUACUUUCAGCGGGGAGGCGUUACCCGCAGAAGAAGCACCGGCUAACUCCGUGCCAGCAGCCGCGGUAAUAC
rnacentral:rRNA from 1 species